rnacentral:rRNA from 1 species
CCUACCGGCGGCUGCAGUGGGGAAUAUUGGACAAUGGGGGCAACCCUGAUCCAGCAAUUCUGUGUGCACGAAGAAGGUUUUCGGAUUGUAAAGUGCUUUCAGCAGGGAAGAAGGAAGUGACGGUACCUGCAGAAGAAGCGACGGCUAAAUACGUGCCAGCAGCCGCGGUAAUACGUAUGUCGCGAGCGUUAUCCGGAAUUAUUGGGCAUAAAGGGCAUCUAGGCGGCCUAACAAGUCAGGGGUGAAAACCUGCGGCUCAACCGCAGGCCUGCCUUUGAAACUGUAAGGCUGGAGUACCGGAGAGGUGGACGGAACUGCACGAGUAGAGGUGAAAUUCGUAGAUAUGUGCAGGAAUGCCGAUGAUGAAGAUAGUCCACUGGACGGAAACUGACGCUGAAGUGCGAAAGCCGGGGGAGCGAACGGGAUUAGAUAACCGGGUAGUC